ensembl:lncRNA
AUGAGACCUCUGAUAUGUUCAGCAAAGAGUUCACAAUGACAAGUUCUUCACUUUAUACUCCAUCAAAAUCAGACCACAAAUUUAACAAAACAUCGUCUGACAUGACAGAAAUAAUCUCAGUUUCCAGCUCAACAGAUACUGAAGUUACAACAAAUCAGACAACUGAGACAUAUAGUAGAGAAUCUGUAACUAGUGCUGUACAUACAUUUUCAUCACUGAUAACUGGGGACUCAACAGAAGAAACAGUUACAAGUAAAGAUGUUACAUCAAAUAUAGCAACAACCGCAGCUACUCUGAUGAUUGACAAAGAUCUGUCAGUAAAAUCAUCUGAAUCCACCAACAUUAAUGUUUCAGAGACUUUGUUCUCUUCUGCUCAGACUGGACAUUUAAAUGAGAUAUCUGAAAGCACAGUCACAAUGAACUCAGACCUCAAUGAUGCUACAGUACUUUCUACAGUACCUGCUAUAGACCUGACCAGUGCAAGAUCACUGUGGACCUCAACUGAUGCAGAUAUCCCAAGAAUUAAGCCAACAGUGAGACAUCAAACAGAAUCUGUUUCUUCUUUUGUCUCUGAUAUCUCAGAAGAAACAGUUCAGCAAGAGGUUUCCAGUGAUGAAGACAGAAUUACACUGACAACUAAAGCAUAUGAUAAUUAUAUUGUAGCCACUGAUGAGGCAGAAAUUCAUGAGACUGACCAAACAUCAGCGCCAAUGAGACCUGCAAGUUCUUCACAUUCCACUUCAACAACUGAAUUGUUUUCAAGCUCAGUGCAAACAGUAGAUACAGACUCAUCUUCUGAACAAGGUAGUGGAGACAUUUCAGAAAAUGAAGUGGCUGAAGAUGAUGGCUCUGGUGAAAUAUCCUCUGAUGUUGUAGAAUCAAUACCACGCCAUGUUGCACCAUCAGAGGACAAGACAACUGCUGCUGGUUUUGAAACAACUCCUUUUUUUGGAGUGAAGCCAUCAGAAAAUGUGACAGCAACCAUAGAUGUUACAGCAACUGUGAGUUCAAAAGCUAUACCAAGCUCAUUUUUUACUCUCACAGAGGUAGAAGGUUCUGGUCAGCAGACACCAGAGAUGUUCACCACAGCUCCCUCAUCUAUGAUCAGAACAGUCACAAGUCAAGAGGUCAUGACAUCUCAAAGAGAGAUUGUCUCUUCAAUGACUGAAUUUUCCAUGAUUAGUCACACAGCUAAAGAACCUAGCACCCAUCUUACAACAGAAUCAGUUAGAUCAAGUUCCACAACAGAGCCUGUAAGUUCAAGACUCACCUCAGUGUCUUCUAGACCUUCUCAUACUAUUACUGAAUCACAGUUGACUAAACACACCACAGAAUCGAUUAUUAGUCCUACUUCAGUUGGAUCAAGUAAACCUAGUCUCACUUUAGUGGCAACAGUUGAAUCAGACCACGCUGCACCUUCAGCAACAGUCACUGCUAUUUAUGAAGCAACUUCAGCUCUUCUCAGGACAAAAACAAUGUUUACAUCUUCUAGCAAAAGCCAAAGCAAGCACACAACAAUUUCAUCUGAUGCAGAGGAUGAUACAACAGAUGAUGAAGGAUCAGGGGUGUCCCCUGUCAUGCAUGUUUCAUCAGCAGCCAUCAAAACUCAGACUAGUUCUCCUAUAGUUCAUAUAACUAGCACUGGCUUCACAGAACUAGACAGGGACAUCACUAUAACACAAAAUUCAAUCCCUAUCAUAUCUGCCCCUGUAGAAAGAGAAGGCUCUGGUAUUGCAGAAGAUGACCAAGAAACUACUCCACUGGAUAGUUCUGGUGAAGAGGACAGAGUAAGUCCAACAGAGGAAAUGCAUGACAAUUAUACCAUGCCCACUGAUGACAUGGAAAUCAUUGAGGCUAACCGCACAUCAGAGCUAAUGAGCUUUGUAAGUUCCUCCCAUUCUACAUCCUUCACAACUAAAUCAACAUUGUUGUCUAGCACGGUCCAAACAGCAGUGAGAUUUUUAUCUACUGAAGGUAGUGAAAUAACAGCUGAAAGUGAAGUGGAUAAAGGUGAUGGCUCUGGUGGUGAAAUAUCACCAGCAGCUCUUGAGUCUAUUCCUCCUCAAGGUACGCCCACUGAGGACAAAACAACUUCAACUACAAUCACAAAACCACAUAUACCUGAAGCUGGAACACCUGCUGCAGAACUGACAUCUGAGGCUUUAUCAGUUUCUGAGACACAAAAGAGUACCUUACAGCCAAGCACUCCAGAAGCUGACUUAACUGGGUUUGCAUUAUCAACCAGAGAGGAUGAGAAGGAAUUUAACUCGCCAGGAGAUCCUACUGAUGAAAUAUCCAAAACACUAACAACUAAGGCAUAUGAGGACCUAUCUGUAAGAACUGAUGAGGCAGAAGUUGAUGAGACUGAGGACAAUACAGGUUUCUCGAGUGCUGCAUCUGUCACUGGCAGUACAGAUUUCAUACAUCAGUCAACUUUAUCCCCAUCUCCCUCAUUCCUGAGCUCCACCCAGUCAACUGUUACAUUUACAACUUCACUUUCAGAAGAUGGCAGUGGGGAAGACUCAACUGAAGGGGAUGGAGCAGAAGAUGAUGGAUCGGGUGAUGAUACAACUCCUGUGACAUCUUCACCUUUGCUGUCAAGCUCAAAGUUGACAGAAACUACCAUUAGCACGACACCCUUUAGCUCAGUCAAAAGUGGACAGUACAGUACAUCCGGAGUUGUUUCACAAGGGCGCACAACAAUUGAAAUGCAGAGUGUGUUUUCAAGCACAAAUGCUGAAGGUUUCGCUCUGGUGUCAGUGACAGCACUGACAGAGCAGGACCAUCCUGGUGUGUCUUUCUCAGAUUUAGCAGCCACUAGCUUUACAGCUCCUGGAACACCAUCUGGUGUGAUAACCAACCACACUAAAUUGCCUUCUUUCGUGACUCCUCAAGAUCCUGUGUCCACCGCUGCUCCAUUGGUCUUCUCUAGGGACAGUGCUGAUCAGCAAGUUACUCCAACAAGCCCAGUCUUAAUAUUCACAGAGGAGGAGGAAGAUGAAGAUAAGCUGUUUUCAACUGUAACAGAAAGUAUGAGAGAUCAAAGCAUCAAACCAGAAGUUUUCAAUAAGGAUGAUGUGAUUAUUGAUGCAGAUACUAUGUCUGUUCUAGAGCAGUCUUCUCCCUUUGCCCCUACAAUUGUUACAGAAGAAGCAGCUGGGGUAACCCCAAUUGUCAUGACGGCACAACCCAUAAGCUUUAUGACAGAGGAACCAGAGGGAUCUGGAAUGGAUGUCACUAAGUUACCUCAGUUACAUGUGUCAUUUGAAACCACAACAGACAGGUUAAUAGUUCAACAAUCCCAAUCAACCCCAGACAUCCUGCAGAGUAUUUCAACAUAUUUAGAAGAGGAAACACAAGCAACACAAUCUCCCGAGGCUACUGAAGCUGAUGUACCUGAACACACACAAGAUGGUCAGACCUCCACAGAAUCCACAGAAUUUACAAUGGAGACACUGACUGAUGUCUUCUCAGGAGACGCUUUGUCUACUGAUGGUUCUAUUCUGGAAACUGCUUUAACCCCCAUGCCAUCUCAAGUGUCCACAGACGGAGUCAUAGAAAUAGUCUCAGCUGAAGAGGACCCAUUUGAAGUUGUAUCAACACAAGAUUCCAAGACCAAAAACAAAACAAUGCCACCAACAGACUUAACAAGAAAGACAACACCUCUGCCACUACAUACAAUAUCUUCUGAGGUGGAAGCUUCAAGUGAAUUAUCUGACCAAUAUGAACCUACUCAAACAACUAUGUCCAGUCACCUUUUCACUUCAUCCAUUGCUGUUACAAGUAGUUCUCUUUAUGUUGAUUCUGUUUCACCUGAAGAUGAAAUGAACUUUACUGGAGAUUAUGUAACAUCUGCCUCAUCAAGUUCUGGAGAAAGUGUUUCUUCACAACAUCCAGAUGAGAUCACAGACAAUGAACAGCCAGUAUUGGAUUUAACAAGCACUGCAUCUUUUGAUACUGCAUCAAGUGCUAGCAUGGCUGAACCUGCCAAAACCACUACAAGUACAUACACCAAAACAGCAGCAACAGAUGAUAAUGACUUAACAGCCGACACAGAGGAAACAGUAUUCAUGACAAGUGUUGAUGACAUUGAACUCAGUAGUCCCUCUACUGAUAAGGCAAUUCAGGGGAGUGAUUUAACAAGCACAGGUAUAUCAUCUAGAUCAGGUAUUUCAGAGGAAACCACAAGUGCAUUAUUUUCUUCAACAGAUUAUGGCUCAGGGGACCAAACAAUUGUAACUGAUUCAACAGACUCACCUUUAAUAACUGAAGAUGAUUCGGUGACAUCAUCUACGGAGAGUGAUAUUGUGAUUCACUUUGCAAAAACCCCUUUGCCUGAAGCAGUUAUAGUAACUGAUGGGGAACCAUAUAACCAAGCUUUGUCUGAGAUGACAGUGACACAUAAGCCCAACGCAGACAUCAGGAUUGAUGACGACAUGCCAUUGCCAUCAACAACUAUUCCCACACCUCUUAUAUCUGCAUCAAAAUUUAAUAUGACUACGGACAUAGUAACAUUAGUGGAAUCUCCUUCAUCUACACCCAUACCAGGGCUGAGUGACAAAACAGGAGCUCCACUUUCCUCUGAGGAAGAGACAGAUAACAUAAUAGAUUAUGAUACAAAAACUGAACCUUACAACGUAUAUUCCAUGCCAGAUUUCAUGAAAAAAACAGACAUCGACAAUGAGACAUCCUUACACAUUAGCUCAGAAGAUGUGACUAGCAUUAAUGAUAUCACUCAUCCUGAAGGUGAGAAGAGCUUCUCUACCUCAUCACCUGAUGCUGAGACAAGCUUUGAGACCACCUCACAGCCUGAUGUUGAGACUGGUUUUGAGACCACCUCACAGCCUGACAUUGAGACUGGUUUUGAGACCACCUCACAGCUUGAUGUGGAGACUGCUUUUGAGACCACCUCACAGCCUGAUGUUGAGACUAAUUUUGAAAUCACCUCACAGCCUGAUGUUGAAACUAGCUUUGAGACCACCUUAGAAUCAAAAAUUGACUCUGACUUUGAGAACGCCUUAAAAUCUGAGGAGGACAGUGCAACAAGUGUUGAUGGAAACACACAAGCAGAAGUUUUGAAUACUGAGACCACCUCUCAGCUUGACACUGAAACAAGCUUUGAGACAACCAUGCAACCAGACGUUGAGAGUGAAACUACUUUUGAAAGUGUUUUAAGUACUGAGAGUGCUUCAGUCACCAGAUCACCAAACAGUGGAACAAGUAGUUCCGAGAAAAGCACAUCUGGAGAUGUAAACACCAUAUUAUCUGAUAAAUAUCACACCACAACAAGACUUUCUGAUGUCACAGAUAAACCCACUGCUACAAGUGAAGAAAAAUUCUUGGAAGAAAGAGUUGAGCAUACGACCCAAUCCAAACAAAAUGACACAGGAUUCAGGACCACCACCCAACCUCAAUAUGAUGGUUCUGUAACUUCCAGUAGUUUGAAGAGCAGCUCAGAGAAGGAUUCAGUUAUCAUCCCAUCAUCUGAUGAGGUUCAGGUAGUAAUUAUGUCUACUGCAACAGCCUCACCUUUUCUUCUGACACCUGAGUCUGAUAUAAAGAUUGUCAGUAAGGAAACUGCCUCAAGGAAACAAGAAGCAGCUGUUCAGAUUGAGGCAGCUGUAACUCUUACAACUGACAUUCCAAUUCAAGAAGACAAUCAGAUGACAUCAUCAGUACCUACAACCCAAAGUGAGACUGCAACACCAUUUUCCUCCCAUGAAGACAUUUCUGAUGCCACUUUGGUUAAAAGCUCACCUUCAAGUGCACAGAAUGAAAGCACAACACACAGUACAGCAGACCUUCCAUACACAAUGAUUGGGCAGACAUUUGAUAUUCCAGAUGUUCAUCCCUGUUCUGAUGAUGUUUGCUUGAAUGGCGGUUCUUGUGCAAAAAUAGUCGGUGCUCAGAUCUGCAGCUGUCCACCUGGA